rnacentral:lncRNA from 1 species
UAGUGGAGCAGACAAAUGCAUAAUAUAGCCCGAAUUGUUCACUUUGUUAUACAAGCAUGAAAUUUGGUACAUAUACUCUUCAAACCCCACUCUUUUCAAAAAUAACGUUAGCCACGCAAAAUUCCAAGAUGGCGGCCCCAAAAUCCAAGAUGUCCGCCCCAAAAAGGUGGUUUUUCCUUUAUAACUCAAAAUGCCUUGAUUUUAAGCCCCAUACAUAUAUUGAAGUUGAAUAUAAAGUUGGGUAUUGCGGACAUGUUGGUACCUAGUACAUUUCUGUAUCCAUUACGGUUCUUGACAUACAGCAUAUAGAUACAGAUAUAGAAUUGGGAGAGUGAGAAAUUUGUAACACCAAUUGUUGUUACGUGCAUAUGGUUGUAUGAAAAUAUCAUUUUCAUUAUCUGUUAUUUUCAUGAGGGUUAUAACAUUAAAUAUGAAAACCAAGAUGGUGUCCAAGAUGGCUGCCAUUGCCUUGAAGUAAUCCGAUCUUAGUGACUAUGAAACAUUAACUUUUUGCAUGCACAUAUUUUUGGUCUAUGCAUCCAAUGGGGCCAUUGCAGUACAGAAUUUAGAUGUUUAUACAGUACAAGCUUGCAGAUGUAAUAGAGUGAAUAUCGGCACACAACCAGGGCACACUGGUGAUAUCACUGCUGUGUAACUCAGCAUGACCUCCAGGAGUUCUUUCAGCAUGAGAACCAGUCCUUCCCUGUUGCAUUGAGCAUGGGUGGAAAAUUGUACACUUGCCAGAAGUCUCAGCUGACCCCUAUCCUUGAGAAUUAUGUCCCACCAGUUGACAAGGAACCUGAGGCAGACAUUCUCAUUGUAGAUGGGUCAGCUUUGGACCACGCUCUGCCACCAAAAAGAUCCAAGACUUUUGAGGACUAUGCAGCUCUCGACUUCCUACCUGUGAUCUACAUGUACUCCAGCAAGUACACAAUGACACAUCUGGUCUUUGAUGUGUAAAACCCAUCGAGCCUUAAAGCUGAGACCAGGUCCAAACGUGGCCAGGGGGGAAGACGCAAAGUAACAAAUAAGAACACCAUGCUAUCUAACUGGCAUAACUUCCUGAGGCACAAUGACAACAAAACAGAGUUGUCCCACCCUUGCCGACAAGGUAACACAAAUGUUUGCCCUAAAUACCAUCAUCUUCACAAAGGGACCUGCUGUCCUCAGCACUCGUGCAACUGGUCUUGAUGGACUGGAUAAAUGCUCUCACAAGGAAGCGGACAGCGGCAUCUUCGUGCAUGCCAAACAUGCAACUGGAAGCCAAUCCAUCAUGAUCAAUGCAAAUGACACAGAUGUUCUGAUCUUAGUAAUAAGUGUAUUCAGCGGUCUCCAAGAGGCUGGCCUACAGCAUAUGUGGCUUGCAUUUGGGCAAGGUCAGACUCUGCGCUGGAUCAGUGUGCAUGACAUAUUUCAGCAUGUUGGCCAGGAGAAGGUAAAAGGCAUGCUCUUCUUCCAUGCCUUUACAGGAUGUGACACUGUGUCUGCCUUCCGCAACAAAAGCAAGAAAAUGGCUUGGCAUACAUGGGACAUAUGUCCAGAAUCCUUGCCUGUAUUCGCCAAACUGGGUAUUUACCCUCCCACAGUGGAGGACUGCGACAUAGAGGAGAAGACAGCCUCCAUGUGGCCUCCCCUGCAAGUAGCCAGAGAGUAGUUGCCCUUUAAGCAAAACAAAUGUCUUCGAAAUGUCCAACAACCAAUGUCCAAUAACAAAAAUCAGAAAAUUGUCACAAAAUGCCUAAUUUUUAACCUUUUAUGACAAGUUUCAUCCUUCUGAAUUCAUGAUUCAUCUCUGCUGAAUUCAUGAUUACUUCAAGGCAAUGGCAGCCAUCUUGGACACCAUCUUGGUUUUCAUAUUUAAUGUUAUACCCAACCCUCAUGAAAAUAACAGAUAAUGGAAAUGAUAUUUUCAUACAACCAUAUGCACGUAAAAACAAUCGGUGUUACAAAUUUCUCACUCUCCCAAUUCUGUACAAGUAUCUAUAUGCUGUAUCUCAAGAACCGUAAUAGAUACAGAGAUGUACUAGGUACCAAAAUGUCCGCAAUACCCAACUUUAUAUUCAACUUCAAUAUAUGUAUGGGGCUUAAAAUCAAGUCAUUUUGAGUUAUAAAGGAAAAACCACAUUUUGGGGCAGACAUAUUGGAUUUUGCGACAGUCAUCUUGGAAUUUUGCGUGGCUAACGUUAUUUUUGAAAAGAGUGGGGUUUGAAUAGUAUAUGUACCAAAUUUCAUGCUUGUAUAACAAAGUGAACGAUUAGGAUUUUAAUGACUGGUAGGAUUUUAAUGACUGGUAAUUUUAAUUUACACAUUGACAAUACCUCUGACCCAGUCUCUAGAGAAUUUUUAAACCUUUUAAAUUGCUUUGAUUUUCAGCAGCAUGUGACACAGCUGACCCACAGCAGGGGGCACACGCACACUCUGUUGUGGAUCUGGCCGUGUCUGACCAUUUCUGUGUGUUUUUUAAAAUCAGCAGUUUUAACCAGAGGGGGAGCCCAGUCAGAACGGUGAGGAAACGCUACCUAACUUCGGAAAAGGCUACAAAUUUUAUUCUCAUCCUACAGAACACCUCCACAAAUUUUACCAGCACCCUGUGUUUUUAUCGUUGACAAUUUUAACAAAAAUCUUAAAUCAACACUGGAUUCAGUUGCUCCACUUUUAACCAAAACCAUUAAGAAAAAAGCAAGACCACCAUGGAGAAACAAGAAUAUCAAGCAGCUCAAAUAUAGUUGCAGGAGUGCUGAAACGAGAUGGAGGAAGUCAAAAUUAACUGUCCAUCUCAAAAUUUUUAAACAACAUCUCAAAACCUUCAAUAGCACAGUCAAACAGGCAAGAACUUCCCACUACAAAAAACUAAUUGCUGACAAUAAACAUAAACCAAAUUUCUUUUCACAACAAUUGAUCUUUUAACAAACAAUUUUAACAGAACCCCUGGCUCUGACACCCUCUGUGAGGAUUUUGCAGACCACUUCACAAGUUAAAUCAACAACAUCAGAUCCAGUCUUUCAUCUCAACAGAUUUUAACUACCAACAUACAUGGAUCACUGCUUUUAGCUGAGGAAAUACUGGAGAGUUUUGCACUGGUUGAUGCGCAGACACUUGGUCGAGUUUUCUCCCAAGUAAACCCUACAACCUGCCUUUUAGAUCCAAUUCCCACACAGUUUUUAAAGACAGUUUUAUGGUUUCUAUGAGGAACAGCUUUUAAACAUUGUAAAUUGCUCUCUUUAGACUGGGGUCUUCCCCCACCUCCUUUAAAACGGUGCUGGUUAGGCCUCUUCUGAAGAAGAGCAAUCUGGACCACAACAUUUUUAACAAUUACUGACCUGUAUCCAACUUACCAUUUUUAAGUGAGAUCCUGAAAAAAAUUGUUCUUCAACGAGUAAAUGACUUAGUAAAUACAAAGAGCAUUUUAGAGAAGUGCCAUUUAGGUUUUAGGAGGGACCACAGUACUAAGACUGUAGCGUGCUGGUGUGUUUUGAGGACCCAGAAGCAGACACAGAGGCAGAUAUCAACUUAGUAUGUAAUUUCAAUGUCCAAACUCAGGUUUUAAAGGCAAAAGAGGAAGUCUGGUAGGCUGGCUGUCGUGUGGGCUGGAGACACUGCGGGGAAAACAGAGGAGAGAGAAGUGAGUAGACAUACAAAAAAAAUCACGAGGAGCAGAGUUACGAGUACUUAUUCCAAAAGGAGGCCAGGAGACGCGUCUGUACCACUUGGGAGUGAAGACAAUACUCAGGCACUGAGACUGAGGGCUGCUGGCCUCUUAAAGUGCCUUGAUUGAAGAUGAAGAGCAGGUGUGUAGUCUCACUCAGCCUCAGCGACCAGGGGAGGGGAGGAAGCUCUGGAAGAGAGUAAAGCCAGACCAGGCAAACACGGAAAAACCGGAAGUCCAGCCAAAAUAAAACAAAAGGAGGAGGCGUCUCACCACACUAUCAGAGGAAGAGUGAAGGAAGAAACUAAGAAAGUUCUUGGUAAAUAAGUAUAAGAUGGUUCUUGUCAAGGACAUUGAUUAUAUGUUGAAAAAGAAUGAUUCAGGAGGCCAGGGUCAGCCAAUGAUGCAAGGGGGGAAGGCAAAAGAAACAUCAUAGUAUGGUUUUUGGGCACCACAGUUGCGUGAGUAAAUUGAUUAUGUCAUAAGUAGAUGCACAAUCUGUCUAAAAAUAAUGGUCCAAAAGGUAUAAUAGUUGAAGUUUGUCCAACCAAGCGGAAGGACGCUCAGUCUGUUGCCAAGGUCUUGUGUAGAGAAGUCAUAAGCAGAUGGAGAAUUCCAUAUCACAUAUCCCUUGAUAAUGGAGAAGAGUUUGUGGAUAAAACGGUGCGAUUGAAUUUACAAUAAACUAGGAAUUAAACAACGUUUGGGAGCUGUGUACCAUCCGCAAAGCCAAGGUAUCUGUGAAAAAAUAAAUUGGGUGUUGAAAAACCCUCUGGGUAAGACUGGCCAGCACACAGGUUUGAUGUCAUAAAGGGGUAGUAUUACUUAGAAAAAGAAUAAACAUGUCAAACAAACAAAAAAUGUAUGUUUUUUGCAAGAUACUGCUUCAUUUUUCUUUUCUCAGGAUUGCAGUUGGGGAGACCAGCCACUCCCAGGACAGCAGAUGGGGGGACCAGCUAAAGAAAGCUUGUUCUCCAAAGAUCUAAACAGCUUUAACGGACCCACACAUCCCAACAAGGACAAUCAAGCAUGGACAAUGAAAACAGAAACUGAAACCGGACAGAAAAUGGGAACAAGGACAUUGCAUUGAAUACCCAGACAUAGGAAACCCAUGUAGUGGAGCAGACAAAUGCAUAAUAUAGCCCGAAUCGUUCACUUUCUUAUACAAGCAUGAAAUUUGGUACAUAUACUCUUCAAACCCCACUCUUUUCAAAAAUAACGUUAGCCACGCAAAAUUCCAAGAUGGCGGCCCCAAAAUCCAAGAUGUCCGCCCCAAAAAGGUGGUUUUUCCUUUAUAACUCAAAAUGCCUUGAUUUUAAGCCCCAUACAUAUAUUGAAGUUGAAUAUAAAGUUGUGUAUUGCGGGCAUUUUGGUACCUAGUACAUCUCUGUAUCCAUUACGGUUCUUGAGAUACAGCAUACAGAUACUUGUACAGAAUUGGGAGAGGGAGAAAUUUGUAACACCGAUUGUUGUUACGUGCAUAUGGUUAUAUGAAAAUAUAAUUUCCAUUAUCUAUUAUUUUGAUGAGGGUUAUAACAUUAAAUUUGAAAAACAAGAUGGUGUCCGAUUAUUUCCUUAUCUGCUCAGCUAAUGGAAAGAACACUAUACAAGUAACCAAGGACGUUCGGGAGCAACAAUUAUUAUUCAUUUAUCUAACAGUGGAGUUUUGUUAGUGUGUAAUCUGUGAUAUAAUUGUUUAUUUAUCUCUUUGUGUUGUAUUUUAAUGUACAUGUCAAUACCAGACAGUAUAGGAAGAAUGAAAAGUAUGAAAGGGUGGUUAGUGAUUCAAAGCUUAAAUUGUAGAGUGAAUGUAUUGGGAUCUCAGGUAUUUUCUUUGUUUUCUCGAUUUUAGGAUCAGUGGUGUUAGGCAGGGAUAGGUCCACUGGAAGGUACGAUGGGACGACCAGCCUGACUUUGGAUAAUUUUUAAACUUUUAUUUUUUGAGAUUCCCAAGAAUAUUUGCUUCACAUUGUGGUUUCACAUAAAGUCGAACCCCUACUUUUCAAUUGGCUUGGAAUACAAUAGGUGGUCACCUAGGGCAGAGGGACCGUGAGUGACUUUUUCCUAUCUAGAUUGUUUGAUGGAUAAUAAUGGAAAGGUUUUUGCUCUCACACUCCAAAAAUUUUGUAGUAAAUUGAAAUUGUGAAAAUGUAUUUCCUUUUUUCGAGACUCUAUGGAGUCUCGAAAGGGGGAAAUAUGUGGUAUCUGGAGUACUACCAUACAAGGAUCUGAGGCAUUGCUCAGGAAUAGCCUGAGCUGACCAAUAGUGGAAUGAGGGCUUGUGUCUUUUUGUGUCUCUUUUAUGGUACCUGGGUCGGAUAUCCUGGAAGCUGCAGUUUUGCAGGUCACAGGACACAGGUCACAGUUCUAGGCUAAAUAAAAAAAUCAGAUGGUAACAAAGAUACCUUGGGAGAUGUAGGAGGACCUACAUCACUGACCCUAUAUAACAGGAGCCCAAACUCUGGUUUGGAAGAGCUGGACAUCAUUGGCAGUCCUCUCCCAGCAACUGCAGUGCUGUUCUGAUACUGGUUUUGUCUUUAUAAUAAACUCCUCUUAUACAAGCAAGCCAGUGUCACAAAGCCUCCUUCUGCAUCUACACAUCACGGACAGACCAGAUACAACACAAGACCUGAAAUCAAGCUUACAAUACCUACAGAAAGACGUAGAUGAACUUAAAAUCACCACAGCAAAACAGUCUAAACCAUGCAAUGCAAUACAGACUGACAUCAUGAAACUGUGCGAUAAUCUUCAGGUGAUUAUUGAUAAACAAGAGUAUCUGGAAGGUCAAUCAAGGAGAAAUAACAUUGUGAUUGAUGGUAUACCUGAAUCCCCUGGUAAAUCCUGGGCAGAUUCAGAGGUGAAAGUGAAAGAGAUUCUAAAACAGAAGCUACGGCUACAGCAUGAGAUUGAGGUGGAGCGUGCACACCGCACUGGUAAACCUGCAGCAGAUGGAGACCGACCCAGAUCUAUAGUGGUCAGGCUCCUGCGUUUUAAGGACAAAGCUGCGGUCCUGCAAAAGACUAAAAAUCUCAAAGGUACAAAAAUUUUCAUCAAUAAGGACUACACCGAUGCUUUGCGUUUAAAGGAAAAAAGAACUUGAUGCCUAAGUUGAGAGCUGCACAGGAAAGGGGAGACAUCGCCUACCUCAAGCCUUGAAUAACUCUGAAGGCAUACUCAUAUGCCAGACUCUCACCACUGGAUAGCUCAAACAUAUUUUCAUGACGGACACUAUAACAUUGUUGUGUCUGGGCUGUCCUCGAUGUGUAGAUGCAGAAGGAGGCUUCGUGACACUGGCUUGCUUGUAUAAGAGGAGUUUAUUAUAAAGACAAAACCAGUAUCAAUACAGCACUGCAGUUGCUGGGAGAGGACUGUCAAUGAUGUCCAGCUCUCCCAAACCAGAGUUUGUGACCCUGUUAUAUACAGUUAGGGAUGUAAGCCCUCCUACAUUCCUUCUUUGUCCCCAAGAUAUCUUUCCUUACCAUCUGGUGUUUGGUUAACCUAGAGUGGUGUUUUAUGACCUGUGCCCUGUGACCUGUGAAGUGCCCCUUCCAGGAUAUCUCACCCUAAGUGUCACUAAUGAUAAACACAGGAAAACACAAAUCCACAUUCCACAAUUGGUCCUCAGGCUACUCCUGAAAAAUACCUUAAGGCAAUGCAUAUUGAUGUAGUACUCCAGAUACCACAACAUCACAUCACAAAUUACCAAAAAAAGGAGUACGAAUUGCGCAUAUUAACAUAAAUAGUCUCAGAAACAAAAUGAAUGAAGUUACGUCUCUAUUAUCUAAACAUAAAUUGCAUACACUUGCCAUCUCAGAGACUCACCUGGACUCGUCCGUUGAGGAUACUGAACUGUAUAUUAAAGACAACAAUAUUUUCAGAAAUGAUAGUAAAAGAUAUGGUGGGGGAGUGGCUUUUUAUAUUAUGAAUCACUUGCCAGUAAGAGUAAAGGUCCUUACACACCGGGCGAGAAUUCGCCAGGCGAAUUAUUCGCCUUUUUUUAAAACAGCAUAAAGUCAAUGCAAGCUUCCACACCGGCGGCGAUUUUUCCGCGGGGCGAAAAGCCGCUUUUAUUUUUUCGCUCCUGUGUCGAAUUUUUCGGCGAAUAUCUGGACCUGCUAGACCUCUGGCCAAUCAAAAGUCAUGUUGUUGAUGACGUCACAGACCCAUACGGCUGGAGGAGAGGGAGAAGUUUGAGAUUAUGAAAACGCAGACAAAGACAGCUGAGGUGCAUCCAAAACUCUGUCGAAUUACUAAUGAAGUAGUUUUCUCACAAGAUGACACUCUCUUCUCUUCCUUAGGAGACAGAUGUCAAGCACACUUCACAGGGUGACCGCCUCAUCAUGCCUGAUUCUCCCUCUCAGCUGUUUGACAUACCGAUGAUCUGCAGCUACAGGGCCAACAGAAUGACCAGACAACUUGAA